UUUUUCUUCACGUUAUUUUUUCUCUUCGGAAUGUGUUGCAGCCGAGCGGAGAUUAAAGCUCGGCUGGUCGGCGCUGGUGCUUGGUUUGUUUAUUUGUGCAUAUGAGAACAUAUCUCGAUGAAGAAAUACAAAUGUAAGAUCAGAACAACUAACAUCCCUUCCAUCCAAUCUCGACGAGCCAGAGUUCAACUCUUUCGAAUGGGAAGCAAAGGAAGCAGACUAUCAGACUCAUUUGGAUUUCUCAUUUGUGGCACUCUCUGUAGCUUCACCUGAGAUGGUCCUCUGUCAACAAAGAAGACAGCUCAGCUCCCGGAGCUUCAAAACAUCCAUCUUGUCAUCCAUUUCUAGGUAGAGCAGCAGAUAAAUGGUGUGUUCUUCAACUUCUUUGGAUUUGAUGGAACAUAUGGAAUGUGCGGGAUCAAAGCUGUGGAGGACUCCAGUGGCAGGCUUGAGAGGACCACCGUUGAGGACAUGGGCAUGGCAGUCCGAGCUGAUGCAAAUAGUACAAGUUCAUCCUUGAAUUCAUCUUUUCGAUGGGCUUCAUUCUGUAAACUCAUUGUUGGCAAAGUAUGUUUUAACAUUCUGAUGUCAUCAAGAAUAGAAAAGGAAAAUUGUGUACUGCCUCUUAAAUUCUUCUGCCCUGAUAGAGAGUGUGAAGAAUGUUGAAAUGCAUGCUUCCUGCUAA